rnacentral:rRNA from 1 species
CCUACGGGUGGCAGCAGUGAGGAAUAUUGGUCAAUGGCCGGAAGGCUGAACCAGCCAUGCCGCGUGAAGGUCAGUGCCCUAUGGGCGUUAAACUUCUUUUGUGCGGGAGCAAUAAUGGUCACGUGUGGCCAGACGAGAGUACCGUACGAAUAAGCAUCGGCUAACUCCGUGCCAGCAGCCGCGGUAAUACGGGGGAUGCAAGCGUUAUCCGGAUUUAUUGGGUUUAAAGGGUGCGUAGGCUGUGAGGUAAGUCAGCGGUGAAAUGCCACCGCUCACCGGGGUGAAGUGCCAUUGAUACGGCCUGGCUGGAAUGCGGAUGCCGUGGGAGGAAUGUGUGGUGUAGCGGUGAAAUGCAUAGAUAUCACACAGAACACCGAUUGCGAAGGCAUCUCACGAAUCCGCGAUUGACGCUGAUGCACGAAAGCGUGGGUAUCAAACAGGAUUAGAUACCCGGGUAGUC